AUUUUUGCCACUUUCUGCAUUUCUCCGAACAAAACAAAACAACAGCAACAAAAAGUAGCAGAAAAACAGUUCAUCCGAGGUGCCAUUAGCCUGUAAUCUUUGGAUGGAGAAAGAGCUUCAUUCUUCUCCCAAGAAUGAAUCCUGCAUAAAAUGAAUGCCAAACAGCAGAAACCAGCUUUAAGACUCGCCGUCAAUUAAACAAAUUAAAAUGUCCACCGUGUUCCAAAUCAGUUUGUGAAGAAGUGGAGGAGAUGGAAAUAGCCUUUCAUUUACAGCCGUGCUGUUAAGUCUGGACAGCUGUUCUAGGGCUGAUCUUCUGAAGCCAGAAUGAGGAACGAGCUGAACAUCUGAGCGAAUGCAUCUCAGCCCAGAAGCAACCCUGUAGAAGACUUUGUUCUUCCAUUAUG